UUUUAAUGCCAUGAAAGUACAGAUUCUGCCGGUGACAACUACGUACGUCUCUUAACGGACACCUGCUGCUCCUCCAAACACUUUUUCACUUUCACGACCAUUCCCAUCUGCUAGAAAGAAUAAAGGAUGUUUGAAGAAGAGUUCUGGUAAAUGUGGAAAAAAUCUGGUCAUGGACAGGAUACAGCAUAAAUUAUAAGAAUUGAUGUCUGCAAAAGUGAGAGUAGAACCCCAGCCCUCCUGAACGGAAGCGCAUUGCCUUAGCACCUGAGCCACUGAAAAGUUAACAAAAACUUGCUUAACCCAUGACCUGGCUGUACCAAAACCCAAAUAACUAACCACUGUGCCAUACACAAUAUGAAUUAAGUGAUCUCUGUUUGUCACAAAGAUUUACGAAGCGAGACUCUAGUAGCGUCUCAUUUCGGAAGGCUCCGCUCCGGUGGUUGCAUUGGGCUUUAACACUGCCUCAUUCUCAUGUUUUUGUAAAUUACAUUGCUAUAAAUCUUAUUACUGUAAACGUGUUAUGCCAUGCUGUGGUGAUUAUUGUGUCUUAUAUCAGUCUACUCAACUUAAAUGAGUCGUGCCCUCCGGUGGAGGUUUUUGGGAAUUGUGCCUGUAGUUGUGCCCUCCGGUGGAGAUAUUUGUGAAUUACACUGUCUUAUAUCAAGUCUAUUCAACUUAAAUGGUUGUGCCCUCCAAUGGUGAACUUUGUGAAAUACACCGCUGCAAAUCAAGUCUAAUGAAGGUAAAGAACUUACACCCUCCUGUGGUGAUUUUUGUGAUUGACACUGUCUUAUAUUGAGCCUACUUAACUUAAAUGGGUUGUGCCCUCCGGUGGAGAUUACUUAUGAAUGACACUGCCUUAUAUUGAGUAUAAUAAACUUAAAUGUUUAUUUAUAAAAAUAAACUUAUAUUAAAGUUUAUAUUGAUCAGUAUACAUUUCUCAAAGAAAACAGUACAUUGAAUGCUUUUUGUUUGUUUAACCAGCUUCACCUUCUAUACUUAAGAUUAUAUUGGCUUUGCACUUUUUUCCUUCGCACUGCUUAUGUACUACAUUUUGCAUGUGAGGGAAUAGUGAUUAAAAACAGUUUUUGGAAAAUGACGGAUAUGUAUUUGAAAAAGAAUCACUGAGACACUUUGUAGGGGAUUUGACUCUUUUAAUGUUGCAGGGAUCAAAUUAAUGACACAAUACUUGUGUGUCUAAGACAAAAAUGCAGGAAUAAAACAGGACAUCGCUAAAAUAUGUCACUUUAUGUCUCUACAUGUGCAGUCAAACAGAACAAAGGUUUUAUAAUGACUAUAAAUGCAAAUGUGAAAGAGACAAAGUCCUCUGGAUCUCUGUGGCCCUCGAGUCGCUGCACGUUUAC